rnacentral:rRNA from 1 species
CUAGUUGCCAUCAUUACUGGUCGGCACUGUAAGAGACUGCCGGUGUCAAACCGGAGGAAGGUGGGGAUGACGUCAAGUCCUCAUGGCCCUUUAUGACCAGGGCUACACACGUACUACAAUGGCCGGUACAAAGGGCAGCCACUUAGCGAUAAGGAGCCAAUCCCGUAAAGCCGGUCUCAGUCCGGAUUGGAGUCUGCAACUCGACUCCAUGAAGUUGGAAUCGCUAGUAAUCGCAGAUCAGCACGCUGCGGUGAAUACGUUCCCGGGCCUU